UACGGAGGGGGCUAGCGUUGUUCGGAAUUACUGGGCGUAAAGCGCACGUAGGCGGCUUUGUAAGUUAGAGGUGAAAGCCCAGAGCUCAACUCUGGAAUUGCCUUUGAGACUGCAUCGCUAGAAUUGUGGAGAGGUAAGUGGAAUUCCGAGUGUAGAGGUGAAAUUCGUAGAUAUUCGGAAGAACACCAGUGGCGAAGGCGACUUACUGGACACAUAUUGACGCUGAGGUGCGAAAGCGUGGGGAGCAAACAGG
rnacentral:rRNA from 1 species